CCAGACUCCUACGGGAGGCAGCAGUGGGGAAUAUUGCACAAUGGGCGCAAGCCUGAUGCAGCGACGCCGCGUGGGGGAUGACGGCCUUCGGGUUGUAAACCUCUUUCAGUACGGACGAAGCGUAAGUGACGGUACGUGCAGAAGAAGGACCGGCCAACUACGUGCCAGCAGCCGCGGUAAUACGUAGGGUGCGAGCGUUGUCCGGAAUUACUGGGCGUAAAGAGCUCGUAGGUGGUUUGUCU
rnacentral:rRNA from 1 species